rnacentral:lncRNA from 1 species
UCAGUGUUGCAGGUGUCACACCCGCUUCCAAAGGGCAGAGCCGGGUGCAUCGCAUAUGUGUGCCAGGAUCUAUUUCCACACAUAUGUUGACGUCACAAGUGUAAUAUAUCAAAAGAACAAUGCAUAAGAGCGUAAAUAACGAUUAUAUUAACAUAUUACACUUCAAACAGACAUAAUGUCUUAACCUUUAUUCAUCAAAGUACAGCGAACAUGGACAUCCAUCCACAGGAAGAUGAUCGGGGGUAUCACUAGACUAGCAUCCAUGGAGUUCAACAUCAUAUCUUCAUUUGCAACUUCUGAUCAAAAUUAAGCAAGGGUGAGCUCACUUAUGGUCGGGGCUCAGCAAGUGGGGGAAAAACUAAUGCAAGUCUAACAAGGUGAGGCUGAGGUUGAGCAGUAAGCAUUUUAGUUGGUCAACAUUUUAUUAACGACAUAUGUCUUACUAAUAAGUGUGAAUCCCAAGUAUUCCCAUUAAACAAAGGUAUAAGAAUAUUUCAAAAACACUUAAGUGAAACCACUUAAGCAAACCAUUGGCAGAUCAUCGGAUCUCGAUUUAUUUCCAUCUUCAAGUUCAAUUAUCAUGUGAGGAGUCCAGGCUGCUCAUAACCGUGAGCACGGCUGAUAUAUCAGUUUUACACUCUGCAGAGGUGGCGCAUCUUUACCCAUGAGUCGCGAUUCCCUUCUAGCCCGGGUUAGCUAGACCCGUAUUCACUUCCGAGGUGAAUGGCCAGGGUCUCACUACGAGGCUUCUCCCUAGAGUCCUCAUUACGCAAAUGCUGGAAAUGGUCAAACUGCAUAAGGCACACCUACUGUAACCAACUUAUAGUCCAGACUACAGGGUAAAGCUUUGGGAACUAUGCCCGUAUCCAAUCUGCCUGAGCCGGAACUAUAAGAGCUUGCCAGAUGCCCCCGUUCCUGUCAACCACGACCAGCACCCAACAUAAGACUUCCCUAGUUAUUUAGCCAAGACCAGAGCCAUGAUAGUUCUCAUGGUAGCACUGUUUUCCCGGGUGGUCACUCCAUGUUCCAAUUAAUAUGCAAUAAUCUUGUUUAACCAUCGGGUUAACAACAAUAAUGUAAACUUACCAUUUGGAACAUUAGUAUCAUAUAGGAGUGACUGCAUAAAGUUAAGUUGUAGCAAUAGCAUAGCUACGGAGGUAAAGUAUAAUUCCCAGGUUUGAUCAAGGAAUAAGGUUGGAAAGGUUAUCUAAAUAGGUAACCCGUCAAAUUAUGCAUAUAUAUCCAAAAGAAUAAACUUUAUUAAAUGUAUUGUUUGGGAUCAAACAGAGUAUGCAGAGGGAGAAGUCCACUUGCCUUGCUUAUUGAAAACUUGAGGUUCUUCCACGGAUAGGAAUAGACCUUGAUUCUUAACUACUAGAUCAACCACUGAAUAUCACACAAACAAACAAGAAGAACAAACACCACUCAAUAACAUACCACAUUCACCAUACGUAAAGCUAAAAGAAAACCUAACGAAAAGAGUGUUCACUUUUCAAAAACAUUACAUGCAAGGGUUAUAAUAAAAAGGUAUUUUUUCAAAAAUGUGUGAUCUAUACUUUAUAAAAUCAUGACAUGAGCUUAAAAAUAUCUUAAUUAAAAUAUACAAAUAUUAGGUUCAUCAAAUUAAUCUUUUAUAAAACGUCAUAUGUGAUAUGUCUAAGAUUAAGGUGAUAACACACGUUAUAACAAUAUUAAACCUUUUUAACCUUUUAGAAAAGAUAUAUGUUAUAUAUCUAAGGUUAAUGCGUUAUGAAAUACAUUAUAAAUUUUAGAAGCAUUAUGGAAACAUUUACUUAUGAUAAACUAAGAUAUAAGUCUAAAUAUAUUUUAUGUGAAAAGAUCAUUAUUAUUAAAUACCUAUUUUAUGAAAAGUUAGGUUAUAGGCCUUUAAGUGGAUUGUCAUGCAAAAGAUAAUGAACAAAUAACCAUCUUUUAUUUUUAUUAGAAGGUACACGUCCUAUAUUCUUUGUUAAGAAAGCUAUAUACAAAACAAAUAUGUAAAUUAACAUUUUAAUUAUAAAAAGGACAUGAACACUAAUUUUCUUUAUUUUAUCCUUUAAGAAAAGCUAAGUGAUUCGUAUAUAACGUGGACUAAAUUUGAUGAAAAGAAUAAUUAAACCUAUAUUACUAGUUAUGAACAAAUUGCAUAUAGGUUUAAUUAAUAAAUUAAAAAAAUAAUUAAUCUACUAUUUGUCUUUAGUUUUAAUUUGAGAACUAAUGAUCUCAUUAAUAAAUAAGGAAAUUGUAUUCAACAUUAUAUAUAAACUAUGAUUUUAGUUUACGAAAGCAAGAACACUAAUUAAUACAUUUUAACACUGAACUUUUUAAAAAAACUCUAUAUUACUUUUAAACAUUAUGACACAUGAUACAUCAUCAUUUGUAAAAAACUUGAAUAUAAGGCUAAAUCAAGUUUUAUGGGAAAUAUAAUUAGACAAUAUUUAACUUUUAUUUUUAUUAAGAAACAUAUGGUCUAAUUUUAAUUUUUAUUAAAAAUCUAUACUUUAGCAACUAUACGAAUCAUAAUUCAAUCUAAAUAUGAAAACUAUUAAGAAAACUAUUUAAACAUAUUUAAUGCAUAAUUAUGAAACUAACAAAAACCAUUUUUAUUUUAUUUAGAUUUCUUAUAUGUAUUUUAUUACAAGAAUUAUUGUAGGGACAAAAAUAAAAUUAACAGUAGACGUGGGACUUAGCUUUGCAAAAUUUGCGUUGUCUUCUACCUUCGUUCUUGCUGACAGCUGAGGAGCAGAGUACGCCAGAGCAGAACACGGGGCAAACUAGCUUCGAUGGCGUGGUCCUCACGGUGCUGGCGCUGGGUUCGGACGACUGUACGACGUCGACAGCACGACAAGGCUGAGCAUUGACAUCAACGAACGCGAACACGAUGAGCAAGGUCGGACGACGCAGGGACGAUGGUGGUGGUACUUGAUGUCGGCACGGCAACUACGUUGAGCGGGCGCGGCAAUCGACGAGCUAGCAGAGAACUCGGCAACGAGGUAGCAGCAAGCAGAGCGGAGGUUCUCCGGUGGCACGGGCUGGCGAGACGCUAGUGCUCAGUGACACGGCGUCGCGGUGCUGGUGCGCAGCAACGCUGCGUGCAGCAAGGCUCCCACGCUGGCAGCAAUAGCACGACGCGGUGAAUAAGCAGAGGCUAGCAGGGAAUGAGCAUAGGGAGAGCUCCCUGCUGAUUUUAUAGGCCGAGAACGGGGAGACGAGCAGUCAGCGGCCGACAACUACCAUUGAUGGCGAGCAGCAACCGAGAAGAGGAGAGGGAAAGACGUAUGGCGUAGUGGGGAAGCAGAGGAAGCGCCGCGGCGUUACGAGACUGCUCCAUUGUUGUAGUGUGGGCGCGGGGAGAGACUAGA